GACGUAGGGGGCAAGCGUUGUCCGGAAUUACUGGGCGUAAAGCGCACGUAGGCGGUCUUUUAAGUCGGGGGUGAAAUCCUGGAGCUCAACUCCAGAACUGCCUUCGAUACUGGAAGACUCGAGUCCGGGAGAGGUGAGUGGAACUGCGAGUGUAGAGGUGAAAUUCGUAGAUAUUCGCAAGAACACCAGUGGCGAAGGCGGCUCACUGGCCCGGUACUGACGCUGAGGUGCGAAAGCGUGGGGAUCAAACAGG
rnacentral:rRNA from 1 species